UCCAGAGUGGAGUAGAGAACGAAUCAGACUUUACUACCAGAACAUACAAAUUGGUGUGUAAUGCGUUGCUGUUCAAGUGGAGAAUUAACUCCAAGGGAUUCAUAUUCAUCCCAAAUAUGGAGAUCAUCAAUAAUCUAAGUUUGUAUAUUGUUACUUACGUAAGUAAUGAGACCCUCUUUUUCCUUCACCAUGGGGUAGGAAGAACCGUCAUCACAUACCUGUCUCUCCUGCAGCACAGUGAAAUCGGUUGGCUUUUCUCAGACGUAUUGCAACAUAACACUGACUCUAAUAUGGAUUCCAUUACAAUUUCAUUGAAAUAGUGAAGACUGAUCGUUAGUGACCCCGUUUAAUGGUUUGCACAACGUUAAGGCAGCCAUUACAAGUGAGGGAAGGAGGCGGAGGUGUUUGACUUUAGUGGUCCCAUUACCCCACACACAAGCAAGUCUGACAACAGCAUGGUUAUCAUUCCAGCAAACAUGGAAAAUAAACAAUUAAUAAAAGA